rnacentral:rRNA from 1 species
CGGGGGAUUACAAUGGGCGCAGCCUGAUCCAGCCAUGCCGCGUGUGUGAUGAAGGCCUUCGGGUUGUAAAGCUCUUUUGGUCGGGACGAAGGUGAUGGGGCUAAUACCCUGUUCCCCUGCUAAUUUCCUGCCAACAACCGCCGCUUACUACAUGCCAGCAGCCGCGGUAAUAA